CAUCCCUUCUUCUUUCUACCAGGAUGACUCACCCUGGCUCGGGAGUAGGCCAUGUGAUUUAGGUUUAAGCCCAUCAAGGCAUUGCAUUUCCUUGGACUCCAAUGAUUGGCUUAUUGAUAAUCAUGUGACUUAAUUAGAGCCAAUUAGAGACGCAAUGAGACUUUUGCUGGGAAUUCUGGGAAGGAGACUCUGACUAGAUCCUUGCUUGACUUGAGACGUAUGAGGUUGGAGCAGCUGUAGCCACCCGCAUCUAUUGAGGGACACUGGUUUGAGAACACAGUCAAGACCAGAACAAGCAAGAGGCUGGAUCUUGAGGACAGUGCUUGAGCCCUCGAAUCAAUAUCUGAACUAACGGAGGAUCUAUGAAGAUAAUUGGCCAGGAGACUCUGAAACACCUGAAUCCUGCCUUUGGCUGGCCAGCCCCAUUUCUCAGCUGUGCCUUCACAGGAGCAGUCUGUCCCAGCACUGGGUGCCUGGGAUGCUUUGAUGUGGGCUACAUUCGGACAGCCUAAUACUUGGGGAAAAAUGUGCUGAAAUCGAACAAGAUUGCUUUCUGCCCAGCUGUUCUCCAAAGGCUCAGACAUUUUUAGCACUGAGCAAAGAAGCUUGUAUUUGUUUUGACAUUCCUGGCAAGAAGAACAAUGGUUUAUUAUCCCAGCACUUUACUAACAAAUAAGACUACCUCCAGCAGAGAUAAAAUAUGGGUCUUGACUUGAUUGCAUUUCAUGUCCAAGGGAAUUAUCUUCUAUUCAUUCUGAUGCCCUUUCAUUAUGCAGUGUAACUUUUUGCUCUUUAUCCUCACCCCUCAGAGUAACCCCUGGCUUUCACUCUGAGAAGGCAGCUUCCUGAAAUC
rnacentral:lncRNA from 1 species